rnacentral:rRNA from 1 species
CCUACGGGAGGCAGCAGUGGGGAAUCUUGGACAAUGGGCGCAAGCCUGAUCCAGCCAUGCCGCGUGAGUGAUGAAGGCCCUAGGGUCGUAAAGCUCUUUCGCCUGUGAUGAUAAUGACAGUAGCAGGUAAAGAAACCCCGGCUAACUCCGUGCCAGCAGCCGCGGUAAU